CCACUCGAAAAUUUUUGCAUCCAACCUAUGAUCUCUUCGCCUUCUUCUCAUUUUUCUUUCCUAAUCUCUUCACACUGGCAAACCCCCCUUUAUGCCACCGAACCCCUCUCCGCCUAACCCCUCUACAUUGCCUAAAUACCUUUACGUUUUCCCCCCUUCGCCUUUUCCUUCUUGAACCCUAAGCGCCUAAAUGCCUUCCCGAACCCUAAGCAACAAAACACAUCUCCAUCCAACCUACGAUCUCUUCUCUACAUUUUUCUUACCCUCUUUGCCUACAAUCUUUCUCUCUUUUAUUCGUUAAGAAAUAGAGCUUCUCAUCGUGUAGUUCUCUCCAUCCUCUUCUUCUCCAUUUGUCUUGUGGUCAUCCAGUUCCAAGACUAAUUCUCCAUGGACUCCUUGAAGGAAUAUGCCUUCAUGAAGAGCAGUAGGGGGAGUAGGGGGAGGAGAGUGGCGACGUUGGAGGAAUCAAAGAAACUAAAGUUCAAAGAAGAUUCCAUCAAUGGACAUGUUUUUGAUCUUGAUUACACCUCUCAGAUCCAUUUCUUUCUUGACCCGUUAGAAAAGUCCAGUUCAUUGAUCUCCAGCAUAGUAGCUAGGGAAGAGGAAUGCCAACGCCGGCGACAACAAAGAGUCAGCCCAAGUGGUGGCACUGUCAGCACCGACGGCUAAGCAGACCAAGAAGAUGGUGAGGGAUACAGAAGAUGAUGAUUUGGGAAAAAAGAAGGUAACCUUGUUCUUUGGCUCGCAGACUAACACCAUCAAGAGGUUCACGAAGGUUAGGUUUCUGAGCUUUUGAUCCGUUCUCACUCUACAUUCCUUGAAACUAGAGAUGUAAUUUCUAUAGAUUUGCUCUAAGAAUCAAUUUUUGAGAAAACCUCUAUGGAAGAGAUCAAUGCGUGGUACAAGAAGGUCAUCUUCAAAGUCAUUGAUUUGAUGAGUUUCGCGAAUUCAAUCUAGCGAUUCCAAGUAAUUUACGAAAUUUUGUUCAACUUUAUUUUCUUAGAAAUUUUGUGCGACUUAUCUUUGAGCAUUAAGUCAAGAAAAAUGCUUGAAUCCCUAAAUUAUCUUGCUAAAAAGAUUUCUGAUAACAUACCUACUGAAUUCAGAAACUUAAUGAGUGUUGAGGAGAUAUAAGAUACAUUACUAUUUUGCUGGGGUCUUAUAGAUAUAUAUCUAUUUCUACAUGUAACUCUAUUGAUUUUGUUUAUUCUUGGUAUAAAUUUCAGUGAUUUGUCAAAAAAUUACUUAUCCAAUAUGAUUCCUGAGGAACUUAGACUACUUCAAAAUCUAGUCACAUUGAAUACCUCUUUAUGAAAUUAUUUGUAGUUUAUUUUUGAAACCAAUAAAUCAGAUACUUUGAAAGGUUAUAGAAAUUUUAUUCUACCUCAUGAUUGCUAAAUUUUGUUGCAAGAAUUUGGAAAACAACAAUGUGACUAGUGGUAUCACAACUCUCACUCACUGCCCAAGUCUUAUUACCCUGUAAGUGACUCUAGAAAAAUCACAUUUUCUGUGUUUUGAAAAUGAAAUAUUUAACUGUAAUUGAUUAUGUUUCGGUAAACAAGAAUUUAUCUAAUAAUAAUUUAGUUGGUGAUGUUCACAUAGAUUACAACUUCUCUUGAUUUUCUCCCGAAAGGUGAGCAAUUGCACAUUAUUCAUGAUUUAGUUCCUUAUUAAGAAUCCACCUUCUAUUGCUUAUUGCAUAGCAUGUUAAUCUCUAAUGUUCCCAUUUUUGAGGUUGAUCAUUAGGACUUUCUAAUUAAAAGUCUUUUUCUACUUUUUACAUAGUUUUAUAGGAAAUCCUGGUUUUUGUGGUUAUUGACUAAGCUCUCCUUGCCACUUCCAUCCACCACAGAGAGGUAUAACUCUUUGUACAAUAAUCUAAGAAUUUCCUAGAAGCACCUGCAAUUUGUUGUUUGUAUUUUGUAUGAUAAUCUAUGAAUAUACAGACUGCUUAUUAACAUGAGCAUCACAUGCAAUGUAUUAAUAUUUCAUUUAGACAAGAGAUUGGUAGAAUCAAUAUAAAAAUUCUGUUGUCUUAACUCUUUUAAUUUUUUUUCCUAUUUACCAGAAAAAUACUUUUAUGUCAUGAAAUAAAAAAUUACUAAGAAAAUCUACACAAAAAUCUUUAAUUAGUUUGUGUAUAACCACAUAACUAGUUCUAAUGAAUUUAGCAAAAUAAUUUUAUUACACAAGGUCAAAUCUUCUUGAUAAUGGGCAUUUCUUGUUUGUGUCUAUUCACAAUAUUUAAUCUGACAGAUGUAGAACUUCCCCUCAAUGAUUCAUCAAAUGUAAUUUUUGCUAAUGGAAUUAACCAACCUUUUCAUUAUUUUGUUAGCUAGAUAGCAUUUGGGUAAUGGGUGACAAAACUAUAGCUAGAGAAAUAAUGAAAAAAGCUGGUGUUCCUACUGUACUAGGAAAUGAUGGACUUGAUCUCUAAUUGUUACUGCUUCAAAUGCCUUGAUCUCUAAUUGUUAUUUUUUGCAAUUUAGUCAUCAAAAGAGGCUAUGAAGUUUGCCCAUGAAAUUGAUUUUCCUGUGAUGAUCAAGGCAACUACUGGUGGUGGAGGAUGUGCAAUGAGAUUAACUAAAGAAUCUGAUGAGUUUAUGAAGCUACUACAGGUGGAAAUAAUUUUGAUGGGACAGUUAAUAUUUGUAAAUUAUGAGAUUGAUUGAAGUUAAUAUACUCUGAGAAUUUGGACUUCCAUUGAGGUAAGAAGAUACUUGAGUUUGAGACAUAAGGCUAAAGUUUACCACCAUGAUACAGUGUGGUUUCAACUUGUACUAUCAUGAUAUUCUAUUUCUCUACCAUUAUUUAGUAACUGAUGGCUAACUACUUCAUUUA